CAUGAUGCAACGGAUUGGGAAAGCCAGGUGCCAAGAAGGCAGCUCUGGAGGUCCAGAGGGAUCUAAGGAGCAUGACUCAAGAUUGAGCCAUGGACUUGGUGAGCAGUGCUUACUGGGACAAGAGGAGUCUCUAUUUGAUUAUGCUUCUGGAGCAAGGUGCAAGAAGAGGACUAAAUAUGAUUCAAAUACUUCUCAGGCUUUGGUUCUCUGAUAUUUUAAAUUUUCCGCUAAUUCUAUACAUUUGGUCAGCAUCCUUGAAGACAGAGUCAAUGUCUCCCAAUAUUAUGGACCUGGAGCUUUCUACUGCAUAAGCAUGGGUGGUUGGAAUGUGUUGACCUUUCUCUCAGAAAGAGUUUUUUCCAUUUCAGUGAGUUGCACUGCAGGCUAAAAUAUUUUUCUGAUUAAAACUCAGACCCACCGCAUCCCUGCAAAUGUUCCCUUAUGGUCUUCAGCAGGCAUGGACAUUCACCUAUAAUUUGCAAUUGCCAUAGCCCAGUCAUAAAUAACAUUCUUAAAAAAUGUUUGACAAUGAAGAGAGAUUCUCUACAAAUUGACUGGUAAGCAAUCAUGCAAAAUCUGCAUUCUUAGAUCUGUAUCAAAUUCAGCAAAUCUACAAGGGCAUUCAGUUUUUGAUUUAAUUGAUAGAGCACUUUCAGCAAUUCUGCUUUUUACUUCAGUAUCUAAAUAAAUAUGAAUAGAUGACUAAUUCA
rnacentral:lncRNA from 1 species